GAUAUAUCCGACAUUUGUGUGUCACAGGACACUAAUUGGCCUAUACACCUCUGGGUGUUGACCCUGUGUACGAGUGAUUCUCACCUUGUGUGUAGCCUGUCUUCACAGGAACCACCACUUCCUUAUCACAAAGUACACCGUGUUCAUUUAUAUGAACACAAGUCAAGUCGAACACAAUACAAGAGAUUUUGCUCUUACGAGCCAACUCAGGUUUUCAUUAAGUGGAAACAUUUGGUCCUUCGAACCGGAGCUCUCUCCACAUCAAGCAAGAUCCUUUUUGCAUCCUACUUUUGCAUCGAGAUUCUUCUCACCUUCCAGGCGGUUUAGUGUUGGUUGCUCAUUCCGAGCCCUAAACCUGCUGACAAGUCAUCGAAACUCUUCAUCUUGAUUCCUGGCCGGUCAUCGUAGAUUCGAUAUUCUUCUUCAACGUUGGGUCCAUCGACACCACCUACUAUGGACGCUGCAGCUAUCACCACGUUGAAGAAAAAGAGGACGACGUUACGACAACAGAUCACCAGAGCUGUCACCAGCCUCACAGCCUUGGUCAACGCUUCAGGUUCACGGAGAGGCGUGAAGGCGCUGGUGGUACACCUCGAUGAUCUUA